UGCAAAUUAAACUGUUGGAAACUUCCUGAA
rnacentral:piRNA from 1 species